AUACGUAGGUGACAAGCGUUAUCCGGAUUUACUGGGCGUAAAGGGCGUGUAGGCGGUCUUGCAAGUCAGAAGUGAAAUUCCUGAGCUCAACUCGGGCGCUGCUUCUGAAACUGCAGGACUUGAGUGCUGGAGGGGAUAGCGGAAUUCCUAGUGGAGCGGUAAAAUGCGCAGAUAUGAGGAAGAACACCGGUGGCGAAGGCGGCUACCUGGACAGUAACUGAAGCUGAGGCGCGAAAGCGUGGGGAUCAAACAGGAUUAUAUACCCUGGUAGUCCACGCUGUAAACGAUGAUUACUAGGUGUGGGGGGACUGACCCCUUCCGUGCCGCAGUUAACACAAUAAGUAAUCCACCUGGGGAGUACGGCCGCAAGGUUGAAACUCAAAGGAAUUGACGUUU
rnacentral:rRNA from 1 species